UACGGGGGGGGCAAGCGUUGUUCGGAAUUACUGGGCGUAAAGGGCUCGUAGGCGGCCAACUAAGUCGGAUGUGAAAUCCCCAGGCUUAACUUGGGAACUGCAUCCGAUACUGGAUGGCUUGAAUCCGGGAGAGGGAUGCGGAAUUCCAGGUGUAGCGGUGAAAUGCGUAGAUAUCGGGAGGAACACCAGUGGCGAAGGCGGCGUCCUGGACCGGUGCUGACGCUGAGGAGCGAAAGCGUGGGGAGCGAUCCGG
rnacentral:rRNA from 1 species